UACGGGAGGCAGCAGUGGGGAAUAUUGCACAAUGGGCGCAAGCCUGAUGCAGCCAUGCCGCGUGUAUGAAGAAGGCCUUCGGGUUGUAAAGUACUUUCAGUCGUGAGGAAGGUGUUAAGGUUAAUAACCUUAGCAAUUGACGUUAGCGACAGAAGAAGCACCGGCUAACUCCGUGCCAGCAGCCGCGGUAAUACGGAGGGUGCGAGCGUUAAUCGGAAUUACUGGGCGUAAAGGGCACGCAGGCGGUUAAUUAAGUUGGAUGUGAAAUCCCCGGGCUUAACCUGGGAAUGGCAUUCAAGACUGGUUAGCUAGAGUCUUGUAGAGGGGGUAGAAUUCCAUGUGUAGCGGUGAAAUGCGUAGAGAUGUGGAGGAAAUACCGGUGGCGAAGGCGGCCCCUGGACAAAAGACUGACGCUCAUGUGCGAAAGCGUGGGGAGCAAACAGGGAUUAGAUACC
rnacentral:rRNA from 1 species